rnacentral:tRNA from 1 species
GAAGUAUAUUAGUGAAAGCUGCUAACUUAUCACUCUAGCGGUUAAAAUCCGUUAAUAUUUCU